CUCACUAUGUUGUCCAUGCUGGAAUUGGCAUUAUUUCCUGCCUCUGGUGAUUUUUACUUAUUUGCUCAAGAAUUAGAAAAUAUGCUUUUUGAGAAUGAGCAAAUUCUCCUCUAAUCAGGUAACAUUUUUCCAAAUGUACUCCAGGAACUGAGACUUCAGAGUCCUGAAUGUCCAGAUCUUCACAUCCCAAGUGUUUCUCUUCAGACUCAAACGAUCAAUGUCAAAAAAAAAUUACAUUAGACAAUGAGAACAAUUUAUGAAACUUAGAUUAAAAAGCCACUUGGUUGUGAAGUGAUGUGAUCCAAGCCCCUUGGAUGUGAAGGUAGCCUCUACAAGGAAGAAACUUAGGACCUAUGAAAUUCUUAAAAGGACACCAAUCUCACAGCUUGUGAUGCUGUGAUGUAAGGAGACUCACAUCUCCCGAACUAAAACUCAGCUCUCUUUCCACAGCCCCCACGCUACCUCGCAAUACGGGCGACAGAGGCUAAGCUUAUUCCAAAUGGAAAUGAUUUUUUCUCCUAUGAAUUUAUUUACAGGCUAUUGUAAUGAACUGCACAGCUGUGUUUUCAGUGUAGCUGUAAACUGGAACAGGGAUGAGAUGGCGGAGGAUGCAAGCCCAGGGAGGGGUGGAAAGUGAGGAGAGCUGCAUGUGGCUCCAAAAUGGAACCAGUUAAAGCAAGCCUCACUUUAUGGGCCACCACUCUCCACCCUGCACAUCGGAUAGACAGCAAGAAGAAACAAAACCAGAGGAGAAGAAUGGAGCUGGAUUGUCUGUGAAGACCCUGCCAGGCUGCAAAAAAGCUGCAUUCGUAAUGCAGAGAAUGCAGCUGGAGGAGCUCUUUGAUUUAACUGUUGUUACUGAAAUCUGUGUAGCAUCAAGUGACUUAGAGCAGGAAGUUAUCUUAGAAUUCUGGAAAGAUUCAAAGUGAUUAGACAGUUGAGGAGUAAGAGUUCAAAGCCAGGACCGCUCAUUUCAGGCAAGGCUUGGGCAGUGACGUAAAUCCUUAGCCAAUAGCUAUAAUAGUCUUCUUUAGGCUCCCUGAAGAUAGGAGCCAGAUCUUAAUCCUUUCUGCAUCUACAAUGAAUUGUAUAGAAUAAUAGUAGGUGCUUCAUGAGUAGCUGUCAGGUGAGGGCUUUGUGUAUCACCAAAGGAUGGGCCUUUCUGUCCCCUUGCAGCUCUGGUGCUCAUGGAUUAAAUUGUUUGGUCCCUUUCAGCUCUUUCCAUACCUGGCUUAUUGGAUACUCUCAACUACAUAGUUGGAACCCUCCUUUUCCCACGCAGUAGUGUCUCCCAUAAAGACUUUUUGGCUAGAUUCUGUAACUUGUCAGCCAUUUUUGAUUACAAGAAUAGUUCUUAUUCUAUUAUUUAAGACUCAUGCCUCUUCAUUCUUAAAAUUCAGUUUUGUGUGUGAUUCAGAUCUUGAGUCCUCCCCUCUCUCCAGCAUAGGCUAGUGCUGUGUUCUAAAUGUUUGUGUCCUCCUGAAAUUCGUAUGUUAAAACCUAAUCUCCAAUGCAACAGUAUUAAGGACUAGGGUCUUUAGGAGAGUUCAUUUGCCCCUUUCCCCAUGUGAGGACACAGCUACAAGCGCCACUUAUGAAGCAGAGAGUGAGCCCUCACUAGACACCAAAUCUGCUGACCUCUUGAUCUUGGACUUCCCAGCCUCUAGAACUAUGAGCAAUAAAUUGCUGUUGUUUAUAAAUUACCCAUUUGCGGGCCAGGCGCAGUGGCUCAUGCCUGUAAUCCCAGCACUUUGGGAGGCUGAGGUGGGAGGAUCACAAGGUCAGGAGAUCAAGACCAUACUGGCUAACACAGUGAAACCCUGUCUCCACCAAAAAUACAAAAAAUUAGAUGGGCGUGAUGGUGGGCGCCUGUAGUCCCAGCUGCUCAGGAGGCUGAGGCAGGAGAAUGGCGUGAACCUGGGAGGUGGAGCUUGCAGUGAGCUGAGAUCACACCACUGCAUUCCAGCAACAGAGUGAGACUCCGUCUCAAAAAAGAAAAAAAAAUACUCAUUUGCUUAAGCAGCUCAGAAAGAUUAAGACAGCUACAGUUGUGGCUUUAAUGACUUCAAAUAUGUAUAUGUGUGUCUGUUUCUGUCGAUACACAUGCAUGUGUGUGUGUAAGUGUGCAUGAUGUAUGUGUGUUUGUAUACAUGUAUGUAACUGUGACUUUGUAUAGAUGUAGGUAUGUGUGUACGUGACUAUGUAUUUAUGGCCAAGAGUUGGUCUGGUUUUCACACAUCUCCUCCCUCUUCUACGAACUAACUUCUCCAAGGAACUGGGGGAGGGAGAAGAAAAGGGUGAACAUUUCUCUGCCAUCCUGCACAAGUUUGCAUGCUCCGCUUGAUUGGCUGUGUUGCUCUGUUUUCUCAAUGUCCAUGUAGGAGUGAUAUGGAUGAUGGUCAUUGUCAUUUUCCACUGACCAGGGGCUCGAUUUCAAGUAGUUCCCCAAGUAUUAGCAGGUCCUUUCAAGAUACAGCUAGAUCUUGCAGCAGACCCCUGGCUGGUUCUGUUCCACUGCAUUUCUCAUUGUCCUUCCUGCUCUGACAGUCCCCAGUCUUUGCUAUCAUCUGGAGCUAACUCAGUGCAAGAUCCAUUCUCUAUACCUUUCUCCUCCAGGAAUUCAAGGGGGGUGAUCUUGGCUUCCUCUUCCCUGGCAGUCUCAUGCCUGCCUCUCCUGCCCUGUCAUGUCACGUCUCCAUAAUUCUCUUUUACAUGGUCACAAGCAAGGUGACAGAUCAUCACAUCUUCUAGCUAUGCAGUCGUCUAACCAAAGAAUGAAAGACUGAUCUCCUCUUCCUUCAGUCAUUCCCAUUUUGACCAGUGAGUCUCCUGAGGCCCCUGACUGGAUGAGCAGAGGGAAUAGUUUCAAACACUUCACUCCCUCUAGUGCCACGUCCUUGCUCUAAAUACCUGCUUUAUACUGACUGGGGGAUUGCAAGGGAGGCAGUUAGUGAUAGGGCCAGUCCAGAGGUACUUCUUGGUACUUCUCAUAAGCUCUGGAGUGAGAUGACCAGCCCUAAAUAGUGGCACACUUAAAAUGUGACCAAAGUACCUUUGGUCCUAAGCAUUGGGCCUUAGCUGCAAUUCUAAGACAAUAAGACAAGUCCUGGUAUAUUUUUACACAGACUUUAGAUGUGCAUUCUAACUGUUUGUAGCCAAACUACCCUUACCUAAAAAAGAGCACAGCAUAAGAACUAAAAGGAGAAGCAAAAGCUAGAUAAAGAAUAGAAUGAAACAAAUACAAAAUGAAAAGCAAAAUAUUAAUAUGUUAUUUAGUACACAUACCAUAAACUUGGUUCCCUUUUAAUGGUAAUAAUAGCUUAUUAUGUGCCAUUACUGUUCCAAGUACUUGACAUGAAUGAUCUCAUUUAAUACAUGCAACAAUACUAUAAGUUCAUUUAUUUUAUUUUAUUAUUAUUAUUAUUAUUGUUUUUGAAAUGGAGUCUUGCUCUAUUUCACCCAGGCUGGAGUGCAGUGUUGCAAUCUCAGCUCACUGCAACCUCCACCUCCCAGGUUCAAGUGAUUCUCCUGCCUUAGCCUCCCAAGUAACUGGGACUACAGGUGUGCACCACCAUGCCCUGCUAAUUUUUGUAUUUUUUUUUUUUUAUUAGAGACAGGGUUUCACCAUAUUGGCCAGGCUGGUCUCGGACUUCUGACCUCAUGAUCCGCCUGCCUCGGCCUCCCAAAGUGCUAGACUUACAGGCAUGAGCCACCACGCCUGGCACAAUAAGUUCAUUUAUUAUUAUCAAUGUAAAGAUGAGCCAAUGGAGACAGAGAGAGAUAACCUACACUUGGAUGCCAAAGAGUGCAUCAGCAGCAAAUAUAGUAAAAAGAUAUCAAGCUGCUUUUCCUAAUUAGCACUCUAUGGGUGUGUGAUGGUUAAUUUUAUGUGUCAACUUGACAAACAUGGGAUGCUCAAGUGUCUUGUUAGGCACCAUUUCUGGGUAUGUCUGUGAGGGGUUUUUGGAAAAUAAUAGCAUCUGAAUCAGACUUAGUGGAGCCUAUUGCCUUCUCCAAUGCGGGUGAACAACAUCCAAUCCACUGAGGGCCUAAAUAGAACAAAAGACAGAAGGAGGGAGGAUUUGUUUCAUUUCUGCCUUCCUGCUUGAGCUGGGACCUUGGUCUUCUUCUGCCAUUAGAGUAGGACUUAUACCAUUGGUUCCCCUGGUUCUAGUGCCUUUAGACUCGGGCUGAAAUUACAUCAUUAGUUUCCUGGGUCCCAGCUCAUAGCAACAGAUUAUGGGAUGUCUCAGCUUCCAUAAUUAUGUGAGACAAUUCUUCAUUAAAAAUAUGUAUAUGCGACUGGGCGCGGUGGCUCACGCCUGUAAUCCCAGCACUUUUUGGGAGGCCGAGGCGGGUGGAUCACGAGGUCAAGAGAUCGAGACCAUCCUGGCUAACACGGUGAAACCCUGUCUCUACUAAAAAUACAAAAAAAUUAGCGGGGCGUGGUGGCGGGCGCCUGUAGUCCCAGCUACUCAGGAGACUGAGGCAGGAGAAUGGCGUGAACCCGGGAGGCGGAGCUUGCAGUGAGCGGAGAUUGCACCACUGCACUCCAGCCUGGGCAACAGAGCAAGACUCCGUCUCAAAAAAUACAUAUAUAUAUAAAAUAUAUAUGUAUAUGCAUAUAUUCUAUAUAUUAUAUGCAGGUAUAUUAUAUAUAAUAUAUGUAUGUAAUUUUGGUUCUUUCCAAAGAACCCGACUAUUACAGUGUGCCAAUUUCCAAAACCACUUUUAGGUCAUUGUAGCAAAAUCUAAAAAUUUUACUUGUUUAGCAUCAAAUCCUUCCAAAAGACAGUGCGAGUGUAGUGGUUAAGAGCACAAAUUCUGGAACUGGACUACAUGAGAGCAAAUCUCAGCUCACCUUCUACUAGCUGGGUGGCCAUUUACAGCUGGGGUCCCAUCACCUCAGUUUCCAGUAAGCAAGUGUUAAUAUUUAGCCUAAAAGGCUGUUGGUAGAAUGAAGAGAAUUCGUAUGUCUAGAGCCGCACUGUCAAAUAAAAUAGUGUGUGAGGUGUAGAUGUAGUUUAAAAUUUUCUAAAGUAGCCACAUUAAAAAAGAAGAAGGAAAAAGAAACAGGUGAAAUGAAUUAUAAUAGGUUUUACUUAACCCAAUAUAGGCCUACCUGAUUUUAUUGUGCUUCACAGAUAACUGUGUUUUUUUGCAAAUUGAAGGUUUAUGGCAACCCUGUGUCAAGCAAGUCUAUUGGCACCAUUUUUCUAACAGCACAUACUUAGCAACUCUGUG
ensembl:lincRNA